CUAGCGCUGAGAUGCACACGCGUCCAAGUACGAACACGUUAGUGGCGUUUCCCUUCCGUUCGCCGCAUACGCUCGCACGGCCCUCUCCGCCAUCUCAUCCGCCUGCUUUCCUUUUCUCCUCUCCCCUCUCUUCCUUCUCGAACCCUAACCCCUGGAAAUUCCCAACCUCCCUGCUCUCAAAACCCUAACCCUGGAUUCCUACAAACCCGUUCUUCGGUGGCUUCUUAACCGCUGCCUUGACGAGGCAAGGAACACCUCGAUUCGCUCCAAAGAUCCAAGUUUUACGUAAUUCUGGGUCAUUAUCUGGUUUCUUGGUUCUUGAAUCCGUGGAUAGCGGGAGACUCCGAUGGAGGCGCUGCUGAGGAAGGUGCGUGGAUCCGUGCUGAGCCGCUUUGGCUCGACUUCGGGUCGGAGCUCGUCGGAAUCCCCGGCUGAUCAUCUCUCGAUGGGCGCCUUUGAUCAGCUCCCAAUCGAUGUACUCGUACAGAUUCUUAGGUGCCUCGGACCGAAGGAGGUCGCAAGGACAUGUCUUGUCUGCAAGUCCUGGAAGCUUUUGGCGUCGGACAAUAGGCUUUGGAUCUUCUUCCUUCAGAACCGGAAGGAGCCCUGGGAUUCUGUUCUUUUUUCGGAGACUCACUUGAGAUUGGGGUCUCCUUCCAUGAUGUACUUUGACCAGUCACCACAGUUAUCAUUCAUGAACAUUUAUGCAAUGCGUGCCACAAUUCCAGGUUCUGUUAUCAUUGAUGGUGGAUCAGGCUAUUGCAAGUAUGGCUGGAGCAAGUAUUAUUCUCCAUCUGGACGUUGUGCUACUUUUUUGGAAUUUGGUAACAUUGAGUCACCAAUGUAUUCAAGGCUUCGUCAUUUUUUCUCGACAAUCUAUAGCAGGAUGCAGGUGAAGGCGUCAUCUCAGCCAAUUAUUAUCUCCAUCCCAAUCUGCCAUUCUGAAGAUACUGAAUCUGCUAGGGCUUCUAGAAGACAAUUGAGGGAGACUAUUUAUGCUGUCCUGUUUGAUAUGAAUGUUCCAGCUGUUUGUGCCAUUGAUCAAGCUGUUUUGGCAUUGUAUGCUGCAAAGCGCACUUCUGGAAUUGUUGUCAAUAUUGGUUUCCAUGCCACCUCCAUCGUCCCAACAGUUCUUCGGGGAAAGGUGAUGCGUGAGGUUGGUGUUGAAAUUGUGGGACAAGGUGCCUUAAAACUUACUGGAUUUCUCAGGGAGCUAAUGCAGCAGAGAAAUAUAAGUUUUGAGUCACUAUACACGGUUCGAACAAUCAAGGAGAAACUAUGCUAUGUGGCCAGUGAUUAUGAAGCAGAGUUAUGUAAAGAUACACAAGCAUCAUGUGAGGUUGCAAGUGAGGGUUGGUUCACUCUAUCAAAGGAGCGCUUCCAAACAACAGAGAUCCUUUUCCAGCCACAUAUUGGGGGGAUGCGUGCAAUGGGUUUGCAUCAAGCUGUAGCUCUUUGUAUGGAUCAUUGUUUUGAAGCAGAAGUGGCCAGUGAUGAUGGAUGGUUCAAAACUGUGGUUUUAGCAGGUGGAUCUUCAUGUUUACCUGGACUACCAGAGAGGUUAGAGAAAGAGCUGUACAAACUUCUUCCACCAUCCAUGGCUGAUGGAAUAAAAGUCAUCCCGCCACCGUAUGGCACUGAUUCUGCCUGGUUUGGAGCAAAGAUUGUCAGCAAUACUAACUGCAAGAAACUGCACCUGACCUGCAUGGCUGGAUUUUGAUACCCAGAAACAACAAGCUGAUUGCUGACGAAUUGCAGCCUUAUUGUAAAAGUUAUGAAACAAUGCAACAAAUUUCUUGCAUCAUGGGCAGCAUAGGAGGCCAUGGUUGGUUCCUUUUUCAGCAUUUCACAUGUAAUGUCACCCACUUUCAACUCACUGUAGACCAAGCCUCGUGGCUUCUGUUUCCAGCUUGGGGAUUCUUCCUUCCAUUAUCAGUCAUUAUCCAGUUAAUAGGUCUCCUCCGUCAAACUUCUGACAUUUCCAAAGCUUGUGUCCUAAUCAUCGUUCCCCAAGAGAAACAUCCAUUUUCAAAUAACCAACCUAGGUCUAUCCAUUGCCAUCAACUAGUGGGAGUGCCAUGACAUCGGUCCUUCAAGCUUCUCUCAAUAUCCUGAGCUCCAUGUAUUUCUUGAGGUGAGCACUUUCUCUGAGGCAUGGUGCAUGACCAAAAAACAGUUCCGCCAGAAGUUCCGGCGCAAGGUGACAUCUCUCAUUGGUUCAUGGUGACAAGUAUGCGGCUUUUUUCAAGCCCAAACUUGGUAGGUCAGUGGCUUUCCUUGCUCAUAGACAGAAAAUUAUACUUUGGUAAUGCUACAGAGUAGAGCUACAACAUCAUAAAUGGAGAUUCCAGAAUGUUCUCCGAGCUAUUGCACUCUCCAAUCCUGGAAAUUAUCUAGGUCUCAAUAAAUGUCAUUGUUUCUCCUCAUCUUGUUCCAUUUUAUUGUGAGAAUGCAUGCUGCUGCAAAGUGUUGUAGAUAAUCUAUGUAUAAGACGUAAGAAAAUAAUUAUCACUUGUGCUGUAGCAGUAACAGUGCUCCAGAUAUCGACGUAAAAUGUCGUGUAAGAAUGUAGUAAUAAAACAGAUUCAUAUGAUAUUUCUUUCAAAGCGUAAUGUUGUAAGUAUUGCUUUUUUGACUGGCCGUUCGGUCCUAUGGAUCGUGACUUUGUACAGAGAUCCUUACAGAUUUAAGACCAAUUUGAUUCAUGCGCUUAUUUAUC